rnacentral:misc_RNA from 1 species
GGGACAACUCCAUUCUGGCCAUGGAAAAGCCUGAAUGCCAUAUCGAAAUUAGGCCCAUCUUCAAAGAUUGGACCCUUGACUCCUUGUACAGGCACGUGCAAAUUGACAGAAGAGAACGAAAAACUUGUUGGUUCAUUGAUGUUUCUCAGAAAUGGGCAUCGCUGAAUGUCCUGUGGAGCGAAACUGUUCUCAGAGCAUGAUGAGUCAGUUAUAGAGUUCCCUAACAGAAAUUCCAUUUCGCGAAGUUGGUUAACCUCUUACAGCGGAGCUGCCGAAG